AAAUGCGAUAAGUAAUGUGAAUUGCAGAAUUCAGUGAAUCAUCGAAUCUUUGAACGCACCUUGCGCUCCUUGGUAGUCCUUGGAGCAUGCCUGUUUGAGUAUCAUGAAAUCUUCAAAGUAAAUCUUUUGUUAACUCAAUUGGUUUCUACUUUGGUAUUGGAGGUCUUUGCAGCUUCACACCUGCUCCUCUUUGUUCAUUAGCUGGAUCUCAGUGUUAUGCUUGGUUCCACUCGGCGUGAUAAGUUAUCUAUCGCUGAGGACACUGUAAAAGGUGGCCAAGGUAAAUGCAGAUGAACCGCUUCUAAUAGUCCAUUGACUUGGACAAUACUUUUAUGAUCUGAUCUCAAAUCAGGUAGGACUACCCGCUGAACUUAAGC
rnacentral:misc_RNA from 1 species